GUUUGAUCCUGGCUCAGGAUGAACGCUGGCGGCGUGCUUAACACAUGCAAGUCGAACGAUCCUUCGGGAUAGUGGCGGACGGGUGAGUAACGCGUGGGAAUCUGCCCUCAGGAGGGGGAUAACGGCUGGAAACGGCCGCUAAUACCCCAUAUGCCGAGAGGUGAAAUGAAUUUCGCCUGAGGAUGAGCCCGCGUCUGAUUAGCUAGUUGGUGGGGUAAAGGCCUACCAAGGCGACGAUCAGUAGCUGGUCUGAGAGGAUGAUCAGCCACACUGGGACUGAGACACGGCCCAGACUCCUACGGGAGGCAGCAGUGGGGAAUUUUCCGCAAUGGGCGAAAGCCUGACGGAGCAACGCCGCGUGAGGGAUGAAGGCCUCUGGGCUGUAAACCUCUUUUCUCAAGGAAGAAGAACUGACGGUACUUGAGGAAUAAGCCACGGCUAAUUCCGUGCCAGCAGCCGCGGUAAUACGGGAGUGGCAAGCGUUAUCCGGAAUUAUUGGGCGUAAAGCGUCCGCAGGCGGCCUUGUAAGUCUGUUGUUAAAGCGUGGAGCUCAACUCCAUUUAAGCAAUGGAAACUACAAGGCUGGAGUGUGGUAGGGGCAGAGGGAAUUCCCGGUGUAGCGGUGAUAUGCGUAGAUAUCGGGAGGAACACCAGUGGCGAAGGCGCUCUGCUGGGCCAUAACUGACGCUCAUGGACGAAAGCCAGGGGAGCGAAAGGGAUUAGAUACCCCUGUAGUCCUGGCCGUAAACGAUGAACACUAGGUGUCGGGGGAAUCGACCCCCUCGGUGUCGUAGCCAACGCGUUAAGUGUUCCGCCUGGGGAGUACGCACGCAAGUGUGAAACUCAAAGGAAUUGACGGGGGCCCGCACAAGCGGUGGAGUAUGUGGUUUAAUUCGAUGCAACGCGAAGAACCUUACCAGGGUUUGACAUCCUGCGAAUCCCUUGGAAACGAGGGAGUGCCUUCGGGAGCGCAGUGACAGGUGGUGCAUGGCUGUCGCCAGCUCGUGUCGUGAGAUGUUGGGUUAAGUCCCGCAACGAGCGCAACCCACGUCUUUAGUUGCCAGCAUUCAGUUGGGCACUCUAGAGAGACCGCCGGUGAUAAACCGGAGGAAGGUGUGGAUGACGUCAAGUCAUCAUGCCCCUUACAUCCUGGGCUACACACGUACUACAAUGCUACGGACAAAGGGCAGCAAGCUCGCGAGAGUUAGCAAAUCCCAUAAACCGUGGCUCAGUUCAGAUCGUAGGCUGCAACUCGCCUACGUGAAGGAGGAAUCGCUAGUAAUCGCAGGUCAGCAUACUGCGGUGAAUACGUUCCCGGGCCUUGUACACACCGCCCGUCACACCAUGGAAGUUGGCCAUGCCCGAAGUCGUUACUCCAACCCUUGUGGAGGAGGACGCCGAAGGUGGGGCUGAUGACUGGGGU
rnacentral:rRNA from 1 species